AAACUAACAAGGAUUCCCCUAGUAACGGCGAGUGAAGCGGGAAGAGCUCAAAUUUGAAAUCUGGCAGUCUUCGAUUGUCCGAGUUGUAAUCUAUAGAGGCGUUUUCCGUGCCGGACCGUGUCCAAGUCUCCUGGAAAGGAGUAUCAAAGAGGGUGAUAAUCCCGUACUUAACACGACCACCGGUGCUCUGUGAUACGUCUUCUACGAGUCGAGUUGUUUGGGAAUGCAGCUCAAAAUGGGUGGUGAAUUCCAUCUAAAGCUAAAUAUUGGCGAGAGACCGAUAGCGAACAAGUACCGUGAGGGAAAGAUGAAAAGCACUUUGGAAAGAGAGUUAAACAGUACGUGAAAUUGUUGAAAGGGAAACGAUUGAAGUCAGUCGUGUUCUUUGGAUUCAGCCAGUUCUGCUGGUCUACUUCCUUUGAACGGGUCAACAUCAGUUUUGUCCGGUGGAUAAAGGUAGUAGGAAUGUGACUUCUCCGGAAGUGUUAUAGCCUAUUAUCACAUACACUGGGUGAGACUGAGGACUGCAGCUCGCCUUUAUGGCCGACCUUCGGGUACGUUCGAGCUUAGGAUGUUGACAUAAUGGCUUUAAACGACCCGUAAAA
rnacentral:rRNA from 1 species